GAGCCCGGUGUAAAACAACGAGUUGGGUAGUGAACUCGCAAAACUACCGUACUGUAAUCUUGGAUUAUAGUGGAAAUUCCCAAAGAUGAUUUGGGGAGUGGAUGUAGGAGCAGUGGAAGCUCCGAACCACUAUAAAAUCUUGUGUUUGCGAUUGACCUUUCUCAUUCCCCCUUCUUUACUUUAGUGCAAAUACUCGUGUGUUUUAUUUUUAAUUAGUCAAAAGUUUUUAAAACACCCAAUUCACCCCCCUCUUGGGUGACCAUCUCUGGGCAACAAGUGGUAUCAGAGCGGGUGCUCUGUGUAUUUCUUGAAAGACCUAACCGUCUUAGCCAAAGAUCUAGAUGGCAACACCCUUUAACAAUGUUCCUGCCGAGGGCAAGCAACCAAU
rnacentral:lncRNA from 1 species